rnacentral:rRNA from 1 species
AUUGAACGCUGGCGGCAGGCCUAACACAUGCAAGUCGAGCGGAUGAAGGGAGCUUGCUCCUGGAUUCAGCGGCGGACGGGUGAGUAAUGCCUAGGAAUCUGCCUGGUAGUGGGGGAUAACGUCCGGAAACGGGCGCUAAUACCGCAUACGUCCUGAGGUAGAAAGUGGGGGAUCUUCGGACCUCACGCUAUCAGAUGAGCCUAGGUCGGAUUAGCUAGUUGGUGGGGUAAAGGCCUACCAAGGCGACGAUCCGUAACUGGUCUGAGAGGAUGAUCAGUCACACUGGAACUGAGACACGGUCCAGACUCCUACGGGAGGCAGCAGUAGGGAAUAUUGGACAAAGGGCGAAAGCCUGAUCCAGCCAUGCCGCGUGUGUGAAGAAGGUCUUCGGAUUGUAAAGCACUUUAAGUUGGGAGGAAGGGAAGUAAGUUAAUACCUUGCUGUUUUGACGUUACCAACAGAAUAAGCACCGGCUAACUUCGUG